GCAAGUCGAGCGCUUCCCUUCGGGGAGGAGCGGCGGACGGGUUAGUAACGCGUGGGAAUAUACCCUUCUCUACGGAAUAGCCUCGGGAAACUGAGAGUAAUACCGUAUACGCCCUUCGGGGGAAAGAUUUAUCGGAGAAGGAUUAGCCCGCGUUGGAUUAGGUAGUUGGUGGGGUAAUGGCCUACCAAGCCGACGAUCCAUAGCUGGUUUGAGAGGAUGAUC
rnacentral:rRNA from 1 species